rnacentral:tRNA from 2 species
UGGGGUGUGGUGCAACGGUAGCACGCCGGCCUUUGGAGCCGUGAAUGGAGGUUCGAAUCCUCCCGCCCCAGCCA